UUGGGGAAAAGGUCAGCACUUAUUUACCAUUUCCCUCAACACACCUUACACAGUGUUGGUGCAAGGAAGGAAAACUGCAGUUAUUAUGCAGUGUAUUGGCUCCCUUUGGUUGAAGACGCUGAAUUACCUGGAGGGAAAACAAUCCUGCUUGAGAUAAAGCUACAGAAGAGGAAUAGGAACGACCUGGGAGCCACUGGGAACCAAUGUCAGGCCAUGACGACAGGAGGUUGCUAUGAACGGAGACCACCCUAAGAGGCAGAACUGAGAAGGAGAGAGACUCGGACUCUGGUCACAGCAUUUGAACUGCCAAAGCAAGCUUCUUUGAAAGGAUAAAAGAAAGAGCAAGAUGGAAAUGAAACAAAUAUGCGUGUCAGAACUUCACUCAUUCGUUGAUGAUGUUUUAUAGCAUGUAACUGUGUUAAGGAAGAUUGAUAAACCUAAUAAACUUAUAUAUAAACCUAUCAGUAAAGGAUUAUAGAGAGGAAAUUCAACUUCACUCUGGAGUACUUGUUAUAUCUCUUCCGGAACUUCAAGUUACAGCAUGUUAUGACUGUGAAGCAUCUCCUCAGUGGUUUUUUGCUUCUUAAUAUGAAAGACUGCCAUCAAUGAAGCUCAGUAUUUUAGAGAAUUGUGGUUUAAGUGUUGAGUUUCCCGUCUUACUCAACUUCAUAAUUCAGUAAAUGUCUCAUGGGGAAAAUUCACCCUGUGUUUGAUGCCUUUAUAUUUACAAUCUUUCACUCUAGAUGCAUCCUUCUCCUGUGGCAAAACCUGGAUUCUUCUCCACUAGCUACAUUCAAGAUUAGCCAAGGCUCCAGGAAUAAUGUUACAGAGGGUCAAAAUACUGUUUCCAAAGAAUAACUAUUGCUGCAUAAUAAAUUACCCCAAACGGAUCAGCUAAAACCAACAUA